CCUACGGGAGGCAGCAGUAGGGAAUAUUGCUCAAUGGGGGAAACCCUGAAGCAGCAACGCCGCGUGGAGGAUGAAGGUUUUCGGAUUGUAAACUCCUUUUGUUAGAGAAGAUUAUGACGGUAUCUAACGAAUAAGCACCGGCUAACUACGUGCCAGCAGCCGCGGUAAUACGGAGGGUGCAAGCGUUACUCGGAUUCACUGGGCGUAAAGAGUGCGUAGGCGGGGUAAUAAGUCAGAUGUGAAAGCCUGUAGCUUAACUACAGAACUGCAAUUGAAACUGUUAGUCUGGAGUGCAGGAGAGGUAGGUGGAAUUCUUGGUGUAGGGGUGAAAUGCGUAGAGAUCAAGAGGAAUACUCAUUGCGAAGGCGGCCUGCUGGACCGUUACUGACGUUGAUGCUCGAAAGCGUGGGGAGCAAACAGGAUUAGAUACCCUUGUAGUC
rnacentral:rRNA from 1 species